GCGGCAGUAGUUCAGUGGUAGAGCCCCAGCUUCACAUGCGCGGAAACCCGGGUUCGAUUCCCGGCUGCUUCC
rfam:Toxocara canis scaffold411, whole genome shotgun sequence.